AACGAACGCUGGCGGCAUGCCUAACACAUGCAAGUCGAACGAGAUCUUCGGGUCUAGUGGCGCACGGGUGCGUAACGCAUGGGAAUCUGCCCUCAGGUUCGGAAUAACCAUUGGAAACGAUGGCUAAUACCGGAUGAUGACGUUAAGUCCAAAGAUUUAUCGCCUGAGGAUGAGCCCGCGUAGGAUUAGCUAGUUGGUGUGGUAAAGGCGCACCAAGGCGACGAUCCUUAGCUGGUCUGAGAGGAUGAUCAGCCACACUGGGACUGAGACACGGCCCAGACUCCUACGGGAGGCAGCAGUGGGGAAUAUUGGACAAUGGGCGAAAGCCUGAUCCAGCAAUGCCGCGUGAGUGAUGAAAGCCUUAGGGUUGUAAAGCUCUUUUACCCGGGAUGAUAAUGACAGUACCGGGAGAAUAAGCUCCGGCUAACUCCGUG
rnacentral:rRNA from 1 species